GUCUCUAUCAGAGUUUGAUCCUGGCUCAGGAUGAACGCUGGCGGCGUGCCUAACACAUGCAAGUCGAGCGCGACUGAUUGAUGCUUGCAUCAUUGAAAGUUGAGCGGCGGACGGGUGAGUAACGCGUGGGUAACCUGCCCUAUACACAUGGAUAACAUACUGAAAAGUUUACUAAUACAUGAUAAUGUAUAUUUACGGCAUCGUAGGUAUACCAAAGUGUUAGCGGUAUAGGAUGGACCCGCGUCUGAUUAGCUAGUUGGUGAGAUAACUGCCCACCAAGGCAAUGAUGGGUAGCCGGCCUGAGAGGGUGAACGGCCACAAGGGGACUGAGACACGGCCCCU
rnacentral:rRNA from 1 species